AUGUUCAGGAGUGCGUCAUCUGGUCAGGACAAUAGGGACAGUCGGUCUUUGAAUGACAUCGGCAAGGAUUACGGGAGGCAGUAUCGAGAGGUGGAAGAAAAAAAAUUACUACAAAACAAGAAGAAGAUCAAGGAUGCAGAUGCUGUCAAACACGCACAUGCCAUGUGGGCUGGAAUAAUUGGAGUCAAGAGUGAGAUACAAGUUCUUGGCAAACGCCCCAACCAGGAGCAUGGUGUGCAACAAACACCUGCCAAGAGGAGCAUUCUAAGCAGCAGAGACUCCUCUAAGCAGAUUGUCCAGACACAGAUGCCCACAAAGGCGCAGAGCGGGCGUUGUGACGGUCCGGCGUUUGUAGGCGGUCAUAAUGAAGAGGUGCAGGGUAACAGAAUUUCCUUUGAUGUGUACGAGGAAGGAAGCAAGUAUCGCGGUAGUCCACGAAUUGAUGAAAACAUAAGGCAAGGUCCUUUGAAAGGAUCACCUGUGGCAUUCAACAUGAGGGGUCCUUCCAAAGGAUCUCCGAUGGCAUUCAAAAUCGUCAGCGAAAUCACCAAUGCACGGAGGUUGUCGCCAAGAUUUGGUGGACAAGAGAGGCAUGGGAAAACAAAGGUUGUUGUUGUGCGUCUCCGGUUGUAUGGUGUAAACAGAAGCACAUCUGUGCCUCUUUGUGCAGAUAGAAGCAGCAGCUCUGCUGUAAGUGGACCCCUGGCUGGUGACGAGACAGAUGUCGUCAGAAGUGAAUGCGAUCAGACGAACGAAGAAACAGUAGAGAGAAUCAUCAUGGCGCCGCCGACCAUUGUAGAGAAAGAAAUGGAUGACAUGUUUAAAGAUUUCAUAUACCCAACGAUUCAGGAGGUCACCAAAGUGGUCGAACUAGAAGGUGGUAUGGUAUUCAGAUCAUUGGAUGAGUGCCUUUUCUUUUUCUGCAGAUAUGCUAGAAAGGUUGGUUUUGCUGCCAAGCGAUCAACGAGCAGAAGAUCGACAUAUGAUCAGCAGCUUGACAAGCAGGUUUUUCAGUGCACCAAGGAAGGGCAGAAUAAAACAACUGAGAGACAUGUUAUGGAGAGAAGGAGCAACUGCUUGAUCCAGACAAGCUGCCUAGUCCAAAUAACAGCCAAGAGGGAUACAGAUAGGAGGAAAUGGUAUCUGAAGAACGUGCGUCUAGAGCACAACCAGGAGCUUCACCCAUCUGAUUGGAUGCUGAAGUUCAUGAGAUGCUAUAAGAAGAUGACACCUCAGGAGAAAUUCUUUAUACAAGUGUUGCAGAAGGCGAGGUUAGAACCAAGGAAGAGGCGGAGGCCGGGAUUCCACCAUGUGGAAGAGACAGAGAACAAUGUAGUGUGCAGCCUGUUCUGGACAGACUCCUUGUGUAAGAUGAAUUAUGAUCUAUAUGGAGAUUUCGUGUCUUUUGACACCACAUUCUCUACGAAUAUAUACGGCUUGCCAUUUGCACCAAUUAUAGGUGUCGACAACCACGGGUCGACCGUCCUAUUUGGAGUAGGCCUUUUGAAGGAUGAGAAAAUAGGGUCAUUCAAGUGGCUCCUAAGCAUGUUUGUCGAGGCAAUGGGAGGUAAAGAGCCGAAAUACAUAAUUACAUACCAGGACCAGGCGAUGAAGACUGCAAUAAAGGAAGCUCUUCCGAGGACGAGGCACAGGUUCUGCUGGUGGCAUAUUAGGAAGAACCUGAAGGAAAAUAAUGCAGCAGUGUUUGCGCAGCACCCAGGGAUGUCUGAUGAUAUAUUUCAAAUCUUCAAAAACUCACUAGAUCAAGACGAGUUUUAG
rnacentral:rRNA from 1 species